rnacentral:tRNA from 1 species
GGGUCGGUGGCGUGCCCGGCGGGUUCGAUUCCGAUC